rnacentral:rRNA from 1 species
CGAGGAAUAUUGGGCAAUGCCCGCAAGGGUGACCCAGCAACGCCGCGUGGAGGAUGAAUGUCGUAAGAUUGUAAACUCCUGUUAGAGGGGAAGAAUAGUACCGGUUGGACCGGUAUAUGACUGUACCCUCAGAGAAAGCCCCGGCUAACUACGUGCCAGCAGCCGCGGUAAUACGUAGGGGGCAAGCGUUGUCCGGAUUUACUGGGUGUAAAGGGCGCGCAGGCGGGAUAAAAAGUCAGUGGUGAAAUCCUACAGCUUAACUGUAGAACUGCCUUUGAUACUUUUAUUCUUGAGUUCGGGAGAGAGAGACGGAAUUCCAGGUGUAGUGGUGAAAUACGUAGAUAUCUGGAAGAACACCAGUUGCGAAGGCGGUCUCUUGGUCCGACACUGACGCUGAGGCGCGAAAGCGUGGGGAGCAAACA